CUCGAUAAUCCACGAACACCUUACCUCCCCUAGAUCUAACAGCUUGUGUACUGCCGUCGUAAGCACACCUCUAAAAGAACAAGUAUGCAAUCAUGACUAGUCUCAUAUACGUCAGGUCAAAGUGCAGCCAAUGGGGAAGGUGAUGAUGGGUUACAACCUAAAUAAAGACACGGAAUAAAGUUCUAAUAGCUUUAUAAAAGUGGACUUGGGUGUAAUAAUGACUAAAUACCAAAAUGAAAUCGAAUCUAAGACAUGCACACAUCGCCCGUCACUCUUGCCUAAAGGCAAGAUAAGUCGUAACAAAGUAGGUGUAACGGAAGUUGCACCUGUCGAAGUAUAGCAUAUAAAAUGCUUUUUACUUACACUAAAAAAAAGACAUUUGUCUACUCCGCUUAUCCCUAAUUAUUCUUAUAAAAAAUGAUUAAUAAAAACACUUCAAUCUCAAUUUUUCCAAUUAAAAAAACUAAAAGUACUAAAAAGGAAACGCCAAUCUUAUAGUAGUGAAUAGCUCACCUACCUUGUGCAUUAUGGUUUUACAAGCACAAAAUUAAAAAUUCUCUCCCGAAUUCUAUGCGAGCUGCUCCCUUAUAGCUAAGAGCCCACUACUAGUUGUAGCACUAACUUUAGAAAAUAGGGUAGCAGGGGCUACAUACCAAACGCGCUAGAAAAUUGCUGGUUAUUAGUAAAAUUUAUACAUUAAAACAUAUAAUUCUAUUAUAUUGUAAGAUUUUAGAGGAUAAGCCCUAAGAUCUUAAGCCAAAUAAUAACCACAAAGAAACUUAUAGGCCUAAAAACAGCCAUUAUAAAUACCUUACCGUAAACACCCACAUAAUAUAUAAGCAACCUGCCCCAAAAAACUAAUAUUUAAGAAAAACAGCAAUCUUAAUAUAAUAUGUAAAAAUAAGUAUUUUUCACCAACUAAUCCAACUCUAAUUAAAUACAAUAGCUUAUAAAGGAACUCGGCAAAUUCUUAUUUCGACUGUUUAA
rnacentral:rRNA from 1 species